rnacentral:rRNA from 1 species
AAUAUUGGUCAAUGGACGCAAGUCUGAACCAGCCAUGCCGCGUGGAGGAUUAAGGCCCUCUGGGUUGUAAACUCCUUUUAUCUGGGAAGAAAUGUACUUUUUCUUGAGUACUUGACGGUACCAGAGGAAUAAGCACCGGCUAACUCCGUGCCAGCAGCCGCGGUAAUACGGAGGGUGCAAGCGUUAUCCGGAUUCACUGGGUUUAAAGGGUGCGUAGGCGGAUAAGUAAGUCAGUGGUGAAAUCUCCGGGCUUAACCCGGAAACUGCCGUUGAUACUAUUUGUCUUGAAUAUUGCGGAGGUAAGCGGAAUAUGUCAUGUAGCGGUGAAAUGCUUAGAUAUGACAUAGAACACCAAUUGCGAAGGCAGCUUACUACACAAUCAUUGACGCUGAGGCACGAAAGCGUGGGGAUCAAACAGG